CUUAUUCGCCCAAAGGUGGGCCCCCACCUGUACGGCUUUCCCUUGGGCUGAGCAGAAAACAAGAUCUGGGGUUCGGUCGAGCAUCAGGUGUUGUAUCAUGGUUUGAAGAUUCGUAUUCGGUCGGAUCCUGUCCGGUUCGACACCCCGAUCACCCCGAUUGGGCGGAGUGAGGUCGAUUCAUCUCUGACUCGGGCGAGUCACGAAUCGACUCACGGCCUUUAACCAUGUGUAAUAUUCAAUGUUUCGUUUGCUGUUUCUUUGUCGCUUAAGUGGAAGAUCCGAGCCGUGGAACUGGUGGGCCAUGGCAUAGAGAUUGGGUGGAGAAAAAAUUGGAACGAUCGAGUCAUCAGGCGGGUUGUGAGCAUCUGUUGAGUGAGAUCUUUGGCUGUACGUUGGUUUCAACAGUGCAGCCGGCCUGAUGGAUGGACCAUCCUGAUGUCCGUCACAGUGGAUCUUUACGAUGCGGCCCGCCUUUUGCACGGCUCGGAUGUUAUACACAAGUGACGUGUGGAGAAAUGAUCAUGUGCCCCCUCAAUGGAGUGGAGAAGUUACCAUCUGCCAUUCAGUUACGUGUCUCCUAAAUCCAAACCGUUGAAACCCUUGAAAUCAUUGGGGAAAAUCGGGCUUUGAACUCUUUAGGUGGGCCACACUGUAGAAAAUAAUGGAUUGCCAGUGAAUUGACUUAAUGUACAUGCGACGGUACACUUGGUGAGUGGUUCGGUUAGUUUCUAUGACCUUUGAUCUUCAAGCUGGGCCCUACUUUUUCAGUGGCUCAGAUGUCAUCACUGUGGCAGCCUGGUUACUCUCAUGCUGUUUGUUAAGCACUAGAGGAAGGAUUAUUUGGCACAUGUGGCGCAUGUGCAUGUCAAAAACUUGACACAUGUGGUGCUUGAAAAUAUGUGGUAACAUAUGUCCCACACGUGGUGCAGGUUCGAAUGUUGAAAACUUGAUGCGUGCGUGGUGUGUGGUGUUUUUUCUACAUAUUGGAUGUCAUGGUGGCACAUAGGACAUGUGGAGUGCUUGAAAAUGUAUGGUGGCUCACUUGGGCUAUGCCUCACGUACAAAUUUAGCACAUGAAGUGCACUUAAAGGUUGAAUUUGGCACAUUUGUGAUGCUUGAAGAUGGACGGUGGCAUAUUUGCACAUGUGGCACAUGUUUACAAGUAAAUGGUCUGAUAUGUAUCAUAAUGGGAAUAAGUAAGUUUAAAAUUUAUUAAGAACAACAAAGGUGAUGUAGGAUAAUGGAAACUACUGUCGGAUGCAAGAUGAGAAAUCAAUUUACACAUUAAUUUCAGCAAUCAACUUGUAAAAUCAAAUAUAGUCACGUAAUGGACAAAAAUGUCCUAGGUUAUCACAUAUAUGGUGCAUGAAAAUAUAAAAUAAUUCAAGAGUGGAUAGACAAUGAUACAAGCAAAAUUUUGGUUUAGGAAAAGUUUCACAAAAAAAUCGAAUUUUUAUUAGGGUUUUGUAUUCAUGGGUGGAGAUUUAGGAAUUGAAUUUUUAGGGAUUCAAAGGAUCUAGGAUUAAAGGAGUUUUGGAGGGAAAUCAAAGAGGGAAAAACCCUAAAUGAGGCCCACACGUGGCUGCUUGUAAAGACGCACGUGCAUGCGUGCGUAUGCACAUGCGCACAUGUGACUCCACAUGUGGCUAGGUAAAAGGGAAGAAAGAGAGGGAUGAUUGAGUAGGGUUUUGAUGUGUUUAGAAGGUUGUAAUGGAAUGGAAUGGAGGAAGACAAGAGAAGAAGAAAAA